rnacentral:rRNA from 1 species
UACGGAGGGUGCGAGCGUUGUCCGGAAUCACUGGGCGUAAAGGGCGCGUAGGCGGCCUGAUAAGUAGGGGGUGAAAUCCUGCGGCUUAACCGCAGGGCUGCCUUCUAAACUGUCAGGCUAGAGCACGGUAGAGGCAGAUGGAAUUCCCGGUGUAGCGGUGGAAUGCGUAGAGAUCGAGAGGAACACCUGCGGCGAAGGCGGGUUGCUGGGCUGACACUGACGCUGAGGCGCGAAAGCUAGGGGAGCGAACGGG